CGAGUGAGCGCAGUAUAUCUUUCCAUUUUCGUCCUCCAAAUCGAAAAACAUACUGGAUAGCGUGUGGGGGUGACGGCGGAUACCCCGGAGCCCUGAAGGUCCUUUUUGUCCCUGGAUUUUGCUCGUAAUCCAGUUUUUGAGUUGUCACGGUUCAAUGCAUAUCAAUUGGCAAUACCCAUGAGCGUGCUAUCUAGGUGGUACCUCUGAGGUACGUUAGCCAUCAACCGAGGAAUUAUGGUGUUCGGAGCGUUGUGGCGAAUACGUAAGUUUGUAGCCCCUCAGGCAGGCAGAACUGGAUACCAUCUGUGCGCAUGCCCAAUAUCGUCACCCCCCCCGGUAUCGUAGAGCGUGGCCGAGGGGAAAUGCGCCACGUUGAAUGUAAUCUUGGUCAGCAGCCGACGGUGUGCUCGUCAAGGCCCCUAUGAUUGGCCAAGUAUAGCUACGAAUUAUUCUUGCACUCUCGUCUGUCGUCUCUUGCCCGGCUCAUCAUCAGCCAGGCAGCAGCGUAUUUUCACGGCACUGAAAAUCUGCCUUCCGCUUCUCGAAAUGUGACAGUGGCAGCCAUCUCCUCGUAUCCCCCUGUUGCUUGCUAAACCUUUCACAACCAACUGCCAAGUCGUACAAGUCCAUGAGCGUAUAUGGGGAGGCGAUCUGGGUCAUACGGUGUGAGACCUUUUUCCUAUCAAGUGAGCCUUAUUCUCGACUUAUUUCAUGGGUGUUGUGUGUCGAGCUGGCAAAAAAUCGCCAGGUACCUACAAAUGCAACUCCUUCCAGAAACGCUUCCGGAGCUUCCGGCGCGUCGGGUGACCAG
rnacentral:lncRNA from 1 species